rnacentral:lncRNA from 1 species
AGGCCGACGAGGAGAUGACUGGCUACGUGGCCACUCGCUGGUACCGUGCCCCCGAGAUCAUGCUGAACUGGAUGCAUUACAACCAGACAGUGGACAUCUGGUCUGUGGGCUGCAUCAUGGCCGAGCUGCUCCAGGGAAAGGCCCUCUUCCCAGGAAAUGACUACAUCGACCAGCUGAAGCGCAUCAUGGAGGUGGUGGGCACACCCAGCCCUGAGGUUCUAGCGAAGAUAUCCUCGGAACACGCCUGUUGGAGUGAACGGGUCUGGGGGCUUCUCUUGGCAAGCCCCUGCCUGGCUGAGGCCCGGGGAGGUGGGCCCUGAGCAGCCCCCUCCACACGCCGCUAGGCCCGGGCGUACAUCCAGUCGCUGCCCCCCGUGCCCCAGAAGGAUCUCAGGAGCAUCUUCCGUGGCGCCAACCCCCUGGCUGUGGACCUCCUGGGAAGGAUGCUGGUGCUGGACAGUGACCAGAGGGUCAGCGCGGCCGAGGCCCUGUCGCACGCCUACUUCAGCCAGUACCACGACCCGGAGGAUGAGCCGGAAGCAGAGCCCUACGAUGAGAGCAUCGAGGCCAAGGAGCGCACGGCGGAGGANNNNNNNNAGCUCACCUACCAGGAGGUCCUCAGCUUCAAGCCCCCGGAGCCACCGCGGCCACCUGGCAGCCUGGAGGUUGAGCAGUGAGGCGACCUCAAGGCAGGGCCUGAGCCGGCCUGCCCCCUCCCUCAGCCUGCCUCCCAGGACCCCUUGUCUACGCGACACUCCUUGGGGCAAGUUUGCACGCUUGGAUGCUCAUGUGUGAGCCACCGACGUGGGAGUCUGGGCAGAGCUGUCAGGACUUCCUUGGUCCCCGACCCGCUCCCAGCAACCUGAGUCUCCCUCGGGACCUCACUGUGGGGGACCUGGGUGCCCUAGCACCCCCCGGGGAUGGUGUCUGUUUCCAGUCUCCUGAGCCGAAGAGGGCUGUCGCAUGGUCGGCGGGGCGGGGGGGGUGGUGCUUUGGGGCCCAGCCUCCUGGAGACAAAAGUCUGGGUGGUCAGAGCCGCUCAGCGGGAAGGGGCUGCCCUGCAAAGUGCUGAGCCGAAUCUUCCCUGGGGGGCAGGUGGGGACAGCUGCCUGGAGCCAUGUGUUCACCUGUGCUAUCUUGGGCACACCUGGGAUUCACAUGUCAAAGCAGAUGCAGGCAUGUGUGGACCUGAGGGCAUCCAAAGGCCAGCGACCAUGACCAGCAGGAGGCCCAAGUUGGGGCGGCAGUGGCAGUGGCUCACUAUUGCCCACCCCCCCAGGUCCUGGGGUGGGAGCCGUGCUGCCGGCCAGGGGCGAGGUGACCAGGGUCAGCCAUGUGAGCAAAAGGAUCCUGUCUCCUUGGGCAUGGGAUCUGCAGCAGGUUCCAGAGGCCCGAGGGCACCAUGCCAGCUGGGGGGCUGGCAGGCCUGGGGGCUCCAGCAUGGAGGACCCACACUCUGGUAUGGACUCGGAUCCUGGCCCCUGGCCCAGAGCUCCUGAAGAAAACCUCUGCCCGCUCUACGUCUGCAGGGCAGCCCUGUCUUGCCCCUCCAGGGUGCAGCUGACCUCCAGCCUCUGCUCGAAAUGCACUGGGGGUGCAGGUCCUCCCUCAAGGGGCUUCUCUGUCAGGCGGGCUGGGGGGUGACCCCUGGCCUUGCGGGAUCAGGGAGAUCUGAAUGUCAAGUGCCUGCCCCAGGGUUUCACAAUAAAAGGGGUCCUCUCUCGC